rnacentral:misc_RNA from 1 species
CGUGCACCAACUCGCUGGACAUGAGAACGGACAUGACCCCGCCCCAUGAGAAACCGAUGAGACCGAUGCGCUUGGGGUCUACUUCAGGUUGGGUCGCCAGCCACCGGAGUGCCGCGGCGGCAUGGGGCAUCGUCGCUCGGGUCCCUUCACGCGGAGUUACGUCGCGGAGGAACAUCGUGAUCUCCAGCGUCGCGAUUCCCGCUCUCUGCAGGGCGGUCGCGUAAAACGCGCCGCGGCCGUCAACUCCGUUGCUGCCGUGCAGUAUCAAGACCACGGGCACCUUUGACUUGUCGCCGGCUGGAAGACCGAAUGUUCCUCGCACUUCUCCUGACUGACCCAAGCCGGGGAUCUCAACG